rnacentral:misc_RNA from 1 species
CCAAAACAGCGGCCUUCGGGCCUCGCUGCACCCUUGUCUUUUGCGCACCGUAUUGUUUCCUCGGCGGGCUUGCCUGCCGGUUGGACAUCAUAAAACCUCUUUGUAGUUGCAAUCAGCGUCAGAAAAACAAUAAUUAUUA